UACAGAGGUCUCAAGCGUUGUUCGGAUUCAUUGGGCGUAGAGGGCGCGUAGGCGGCGGGGUAAGUCGGGUGUGAAAUCUCAGAGCUCAACUCUGAAACUGCACUCGAUACUGCUCUGCUUGAGGACUGGAGAGGAGACUGGAAUUCACGGUGUAGCAGUGAAAUGCGUAGAUAUCGUGAGGAAGACCAGUGGCGAAGGCGUGUCUCUGGACAGUUCCUGACGCUGAGGCGCGAAGGCCAGGGGAGCAAACGGG
rnacentral:rRNA from 1 species